AGGAUUGGCAUGGAAGAUGCAGCACUCUUUACAUUUUAAAUAUCAAAUGUAUAUCAAGUGUUAUCCAUCCUCAUAACACCUCCACAAAUAGAGACUAGAACUUCUGAGCACCAUCACCUUGUCUGCUUUGGGACUGUCAUAGCCCAGCAAUCAGAUGCAUCAGAACAACAAAGCACAGCUGUGGUGGCCAAGGCACCUUCAGCAACAAGUAAAUUGCUUUAAUAUUAAUGAUAACGC